GCCCCCGCCCUCUGUGUCUGCCACAGGGCCCGGGCCUGGCCCUGGCCCUGGCCCUGGUCCUGGCCCAGGACCAG
ensembl:miRNA